rnacentral:snoRNA from 1 species
GUGAUGAGGAGGCAUUUGCGGCAGUAGAUGGCCGGCGCCGGAAAAGCUGA